rnacentral:rRNA from 1 species
CCUACGGGAGGCAGCAGUGAGGAAUAUUGGUCAAUGGGCGAAAGCCUGACGCAGCGACGCCGCGUGAGGGAUGAAGGUCUUCGGAUCGUAAACCUCUGUCAGCAGGGAAGAACGGUCACUGUGCUAAUCAGCAGUGAAUUGACGGUACCUGCAAUGGAAUCACCCGAUAACUCCGUGCCAGCAGCAGCGGUAAUACGGGGGAUGCGAGCGUUAAUCGGAAUUACUGGGCGUAAGGCGCUCGUAGGCGGUAGGUCAAGUCAAGGGUGAAAUCCCCGCGCUCAACGUGGGAACUGCCUUUGAAACUGGCAAACUGGAGUGUGUGAGAGGAUAGUGGAAUUCCAGGUGUAGGGGGGAAAUCCGUAGAUAUCUGGAGGAACAUCAGUGGCGAAGGCGACUGUCUGGCACAUAACUGACGCUGAGGAGCGAAAGCGUGGGUAGCAAACAGGAUUAGAUACCCUUGUAGUC